rnacentral:lncRNA from 1 species
AUAAGAUCAGGUUAAUUCACAGACAAUACAAUCUCCCUGAAUUGGAGCAACCCUCCAGCAGGCUGAUAGGGGGAUUCAGGGGGUGUGCAGGGUUGGAGCCCCCAGACUAGGUCCUGCUUUGCCUGGAAAAGACUGGCUUGACUACUGAGCUCUCACAGUGGAGAAGUGGGGUCUGACAUGAAGGAAGAUAUCCUGUGCUCCAUGGAUCCGGCUCCCGAAGCUAGCUGCUGGCUCCUUGCUGGAGCUUCAGAAUGAAAUUUAGAAGGUCGAAAGACAUCAUAUGGCUGUUUUCAAAGGAAAAGAGGUGCCUGCAAAAGCUCCAGCAGGAGGAAUUUUCGUGGCGUUUAGAUAAUUUAUCAACUGGGCUCCCCAACAGAUAAAAGGUUGCGUUUUCCUUUCCAACAUUUGGGAGGAUGGAAGAGACACAGCGUCGGCCAUUCAGGGGCACGGAGCAUCAGAAGCAAACAGAGAAGGUAGGUGGGCGGGUGUGGUUCCCCACACAGGGUACCAGUAGUGAUGCCUACUGGCUCUUUCUGUAGACACCAGGCCCUGUUUU